rnacentral:rRNA from 1 species
CCUGCCCUUCAGUUGGGAAUACCUAGAGGAGACUUUAGUUAAUACCGAAUACGUACGAGAGAGGCAUCUCUUUCGUAUAAAAGAAGCGAUUGCUUCGCUGAUGGAUGGACCCGCGUCGCAUUAGCUAGUUGGUGAGGUAACGGCUCACCAAGGCUCGGAUGCGUAGCCGACCUGAGAGGGUGAUCGGCCACAAUGGGACUGAGACACGGCCCAUACUCCUACGGGAGGCAGCAGUAGGGAGUUUUCGGCAAUGGGGGGAACCCUGACCGAGCAAUGCCGCGUGAAUGAUGAAGGUCUUUGGAUCGUAAAGUUCUGUUGUCGCUAUGGAAAACCUAGAGGAGGAAAUGCCUUUAGCUUGACCUAGCUUCCAGAAAGCCACGGCUAACUACGUGCCAGCAGCCGCGGUAAUACGUAGGUGGCAAGCGUUAUCCGGAAUUAUUGGGCGUAAAGAGUGAGCAGGCGGCAGUUUAAGUCUGAAGUCAAAUGCAGUGGCUCAACCACUGUCCGCUUUGGAAACUGAACAGCUGGAGUACGAGAGAGGUAUGUGGAAUUCCAUGUGUAGCGGUGAAAUGCGUAGAUAUAUGGAGGAACACCAAAGGCGAAGGCGGCAUACUG